rnacentral:tRNA from 1 species
CGGGGCGUGGCGCAGCCUGGUAGCGCGACAGCUUUGGGAGCUGUAAGUCGUGGGUUCGAAUCCCACCACCCCGACCA